rnacentral:rRNA from 1 species
GACGAACGCUGGCGGCGUGCUUAACACAUGCAAGUCGAACGAUGACGACCGAGCUUGCUCGGUCUGAUUAGUGGCGAACGGGUGAGUAACACGUGAGCAACCUGCCCUUCACUCUGGGAUAACCUCGGGAAAUCGGGGCUAAUACCGGAUAUGAGCUCCUGUCGCAUGGCGGGUGUUGGAAAGUUUUUCGGUGAAGGAUGGGCUCGCGGCCUAUCAGUUUGUUGGUGAGGUAGUGGCUCACCAAGGCGAUGACGGGUAGCCGGCCUGAGAGGGCGACCGGCCACACUGGGACUGAGACACGGCCCAGACUCCUACGGGAGGCAGCAGUGGGGAAUAUUGCACAAUGGGCGAAAGCUUGAUGCAGCGACGCCGCGUGAGGGAUGACGGCCUUCGGGUUGUAAACCUCUUUCAGCAGGGAAGAAGCGAAAGUGACGGUACCUGCAGAAGAAGCGCCGGCUAACUACGUG